rnacentral:rRNA from 1 species
CCUACGGGCGGCAGCAGUGAGGAAUAUUGGUCAAUGGGCGCGAGCCUGAACCAGCCAAGUAGCGUGAAGGAUGACUGCCCUACGGGUCGUAAACCUCUUUUAUAAAGGAAUAAAGUGAGGCACGUGUGCCUUUUUGUAUGUACUUUAUGAAUAAGGAUCGGCUAAUUCCGUGCCAGCAGCCGCGGUAAUACGGAGGAUCCGAGCGUUAUCCGGAUUUAUUGGGUUUAAAGGGAGCGUAGAUGGGUUGUUAAGUCAGUUGUGAAAGUUUGCGGCUCAACCGUAAAAUUGCAAUUGAUACUGGCAGUCUUGAGUACAGUUGAGGUAGGCGGAAUUCGUGGUGUAGCGGUGAAAUGCUUAGAUAUCACGAAGAACUCCGAUUGCGAAGGCAGCUUACUAAGCUGCCACUGACAUUGAUGCUCGAAGGUGUGGGUAUCAAACAGGAUUAGAUACCCUUGUAGUC